rnacentral:misc_RNA from 1 species
GUCAAAUUCUAUCCGUUGCUAAUUUCAAUUAUUUGUGAAUUAUUUUGUUGUUUAAUCUUGUAAACUGCUGUUGAUUGCUGAGAAAACGUAAAAAAAUCAAUGGGAAUGCUUUUAUUCAUUGUGAUGUGUUUAUGAUCAUGAUCCCCAGACAUGUUGAUAUUACAUGCAUUAGUAUUCAAAUUCCUGCAAUUGUUCUAUGUUUGGAGUAUAGUAUGAUGUUUACUAGUGUCGACAACUUUUUUCCCCACUUUUUCCUUCGAACAAUCCAAUGGGGUUUUUUGGGUUUGUUCAUUGCCUGUGUAAUUAUACUAGUGGGAUAUGUGCCAACUCUUCCAUGUAGGAUGAUUUACUUGUAGUUCUGAUGCUAGA